rnacentral:rRNA from 1 species
UACGUAGGGUGCAAGCGUUAAUCGGAAUUACUGGGCGUAAAGCGUGCGCAGGCGGUGAUGUAAGACAGGUGUGAAAUCCCCGGGCUUAACCUGGGAACUGCAUUUGUGACUGCAUCGCUGGAGUGCGGCAGAGGGGGAUGGAAUUCCGCGUGUAGCAGUGAAAUGCGUAGAUAUGCGGAGGAACACCGAUGGCGAAGGCAAUCCCCUGGACCUGUACUGACGCUCAUGCACGAAAGCGUGGGGGGCAAACAGG